GGAAAAACCAACGCAGUUUCCAUUUGGUUGAAAACCUUUGGGGGUCAUCUAAAGAACAAGUCUUUGUAUGCCUUGGGAUUAUGUUCAGAGUUUUAGUUAACGCGGGUGAUACUUUACUUUUUGGUUUAGAUUCAUGUGACUAUACCAAUAAACCUCGUGGGAAAGCUAUCCUUCAUCAUAAGGUCAAUAAUCUACCAGUAAAUUUGCUUCGUGUUGCAUACUCGAGCCAGAUCCAUGGUCAAAGCUCUUAUUCCUCUUAUGACUUGCCCAAGACUGCUGUGAUGACUCUCAACCAAGUUUCAAUUGUAAAAAGUCUGGACUUCCCUCUUUUUAUUUUUCUGUUAAUGGUUAGUUGGAACAAACUUCCAUUAUUGCCUUUUCCUAGAUGCUUUAGAAUUUUUAACUUGGUUGAUACUGAUAUGGUGCUGAUAUAAUGGUGAUAUUGGUGAUAUGGUACUGAUAUGUUGGGUGUCUUGAAAAAGUUGAUCAUCUCAUAUCAGGAAUUGGUUUAUGUUCUGCCUGAGGCACUGUCACAAUUUGUUUUCAUGAUUUCUUCUGUAAAUUUUUUAUUACAAGGGAAGAUUUUGGCUAAUGAAUGAGAGUCAUGUCAUUUGACAAAUGUUGUGUUGGCUAUGGUGAAGGUUGCAUUUGAUACUCUUGAUUUUGAGCUUCAUAGUGGAACUCAUCCUAGACUUGGAGUGGUGGAUCAUAUAUGUUUUCAUCCUUUGGUUGAUAUGUCGUUGGAUCAAGCGGCUAGGACUGCGAGGUGUUUAGCUACUGACAUGGGUUCUAAGCUACAAGGUUAGUAGUAGCACUUGCGACAAGUUUGAUACGUUGUUGUUUUGGCGAAUAUUAGAAUAACUCGCAUCAACUGCACAAGGCAAGUCGGCCACCAACCAGGAAACUUUCUGAUCGGAAGGCAUAUGCUUGUCAAAAGCACUCAGCUAUUAGUGCAUCAGCAGAUUUUCCUUGGUACUGAUUUAAGUACCAAUAA